rnacentral:rRNA from 1 species
UACGUAGGGUGCGAGCGUUGUCCGGAAUUAUUGGGCGUAAAGGGCUCGUAGGCGGGUUGUCGCGUCGGGGGUGAAAACUCAGGGCUUAACCCUGAGCCUGCUUCCGAUACGGGCAGACUAGAGGUAUGCAGGGGAGAACGGAAUUCCUGGUGUAGCGGUGAAAUGCGCAGAUAUCAGGAGGAACACCGGUGGCGAAGGCGGUUCUCUGGGCAUUACCUGACGCUGAGGAGCGAAAGUGUGGGGAGCGAACAGG